UACAGAGGAGCCAAGCGUUGUCCGGAUUGACUGGGCGUAAAGCGUGCGCAGGCGGUGAUGUAAGACAGGUGUGAAAUCCCAGGGCUUAACCUUGGAACUGCAUUUGUGACUGCAUCGCUGGAGUGCGGCAGAGGGGGAUGGAAUUCCGCGUGUAGCAGUGAAAUGCGUAGAUAUGCGGAGGAACACCGAUGGCGAAGGCAAUCCCCUGGGCCUGCACUGACGCUCAUGCACGAAAGCGUGGGGAGCAAACAGG
rnacentral:rRNA from 1 species